AUCAGCUGGUUCAGACCUAAUUGGUGGGUGGGGUACAAGUCAAGAUGGGUUAGAGCAGAGAGCUAUCAACACCAUCGCAAAAUAAUUGUGGCAAAACAUAAUGGCAUUGGUUACAUGUGCAUAUCUAAUAUCUGAAUGCUCCAGGCAGCACGGUUAGGGCCUCAAUACCCAAGUGGAAAGUCACUAAUACCACCAUAAAUUUGCUUCCAUCAGGUGCUCCUCGCAAGAUUUUUGACAGAGAAGUACAAAGAAUAAUCACGAAGGUUGUCCAGGAGUCAAGGACCACCUUUGGAGCACUUCAAAAAGACCUGGAAUUAACAGGGUUGCGGGUGUGGUGGAACAUAUCCCAGUUAUCUUCGAGCGAGAGUUUCAGGACACUGUGAGGGCGAUUUCACAACAGAAGAGAAUUGUUGAAGCCAUUUUUCGUACCAUUGACCCCUAAGUAAUGCCAUGCCAAGUGGUCCUUGCAAGAUUUCUGACAGAGAGCAAAAAAUAAUUAUGUUUGUCUAGCCAAGGACCACUUGUAGAGACCUUCGAAAAGACCUGGAAUUAGCAGUCAGUUCUCACCCCAAGAAAUUGAAACACAUUACUUAUCAUGGAUGCUAAACCCAAUCUCGCAGAAGAUUUUGAAAAGUUGGAUUGUAGAUGUGAAGACUCACCUUGCAAAACUGAUUUGAAGAGCCCCAAUGUACCCGUAUUGUACAGCUGCAUUGCCGGUGAAACAGAGGCCCAAGAACAGAACAUGCAAAACUCUAAUCAUGAGGAAGUCCAAGCAAGAUUGAUGACUGACUUGAGUUGUGUGGAGAAACAGCAACCACAACUACUGUCCGUUUUGCUCUCAUCUGGCACUAAAGAGUCAAUCACAUCUGCCAAAAAGAGUCAAGAACUGAACACUAACACUUUCAUUAUCCCACCAGGUGAAGAUGACCUCUGCACUCCAAUCCUGUUGGGCUGUCUGUUCUGCCAUCCACUGGAUUGUUUACUGGCUACAGUCAGAGGAUGUUCCAAGUGCCUGUGCUCUUCACUGUUCUGCUGCGAGCCAGCUACCACGCAGAGUCUCCUUAAUAUCACUCAACAUUGUAAUGUAUGCAGAUGUCAAGAACUGUGCGACUCCCAAUGUGAUUGCAGUAUCUGUGGUUUGUGUCUCCAAGCUACAGAAUGCCUGGAUCUUGCCAUGGAAAUCUCUCAAAUGCUCUACCACUAAUCUUAGCAGCAAGCAGAUAAUCACACUUAAACACCUGAAAGAAUAGUUUAUUCAAAUUUGCUGAAAGACACUCCACUGAGCAUGACCAAAAACAUACAUUUGACACAGUGACUCACAAAUAAGAUAAGCAGUUUGUGAAAAGUUGGACGUUCUUCAAAUUUUGGAAAGCAGUUAUGUGGGAGGAAAGAAAAAAAACUUUUGUUGCUUGAUUUUAGUAUUACUCAAUAAGUGGCACUAAACUAGCUAAUUUUAGCUUAAAAACAGUGCCUGAGAGUACAUGCAGGAGAAGAAAAAUCACAGUGUCAAAACUAACUGGGCUCUUUCAGUUCACAUGUUACUGUAAAACUGACAAAAUUGCUAAUCCAGGCACAAGACUUUAAAAGAUGUUCUGACACAAACUCAAAAACCACAUAAAUGUUAGGAUAAAGAUGCACAGGCAAAUUCACAUUCAAUAAUUUAAAGUCGGAUAAUGCAUUUAAUGAGUUAAUGAGUUAAAUGCCUUUAUUUUUUUUGUUUAGUUUAGUCUUUAUUUUUAGUUUAUUGAUACUUCAUAGUAUAUCUGCAAAUAGUGGUUUGUUCAAAACAAAAAAUAAUUCAAAUGGGAAUGCAUUGCAUUUAUAGAUCAUUUGAUACCCACACCUCCAGAAGAAAAAAAAAUGAAAUCAGGUAAAAUCAGCCAGUGAUCAUCAAGGUUAAUUGAGACUAAAAAUCACAAACAAUUAUUAAUUACAAGAAACAAACUACACCUCAAUUACUCUGGUAUAAAAAAUAUGAACUACAGUACUACUGUAAAAAUAAACUGAUCUUUAUGUUAUGCUGUGAAGCAGAAUAUAUUGGAAAAUAGAACAGUGAUUUGUAAUUUGCACUAUAGCUACACUUUAAGAAGUCCUGCUUUGGCUAACAGCAGCAGCAGCAGGUUUCAAGCUCGUAAAAAUACUGCAUGUCACAGUAGGAAAAACAUCUCUCAUAAAAUGCAUAGACUGCAAUAACAUAAGGUGCAAUAAAUUGCUGGAAAAUAAAAUAUUCUUACUUUGUAUACAUCAUGAGGGCAAG